AGUGAACGCUGGCGGUAGGCCUAACACAUGCAAGUCGAACGGCAGCACAGUAAGAGCUUGCUCUUACGGGUGGCGAGUGGCGGACGGGUGAGGAAUACAUCGGAAUCUACUUUUUCGUGGGGGAUAACGUAGGGAAACUUACGCUAAUACCGCAUACGACCUACGGGAGAAAGCAGAGGAUCUUCGGACCUUGCGCGAUUGAAUGAGCCGAUGUCGGAUUAGCUAGUUGGCGGGGUAAAGGCCCACCAAGGCAACGAUCCGUAGCUGGCCUGAGAGGAUGAUCAGCCACACUGGAACUGAGACACGGUCCAGACUCCUACGGGAGGCAGCAGUGGGGAAUAUUGGACAAUGGGCGCAAGCCUGAUCCAGCCAUGCCGCGUGGGUGAAGAAGGCCUUCGGGUUGUAAAGCCCUUUUGUUGGGAAAGAAAAGCAGCAUGUUAAUACCCGGCUGUUUUGACGGUACCCAAAGAAUAAGCACCGGCUAACUUCGUG
rnacentral:rRNA from 1 species